rnacentral:rRNA from 1 species
GACGAACGCUGGCGGCGUGCCUAAUACAUGCAAGUCGAACGAGAGCGACCGGUGCUUGCACUGGUCAAUCUAGUGGCGAACGGGUGAGUAACACGUGGGUAACCUGCCCAUCAGAGGGGGAUAACAUCCGGAAACGGAUGCUAAAACCGCAUAGGUCUUCGAACCGCAUGGUUUGAAGAGGAAAAGAGGCGCAAGCUUCUGCUGAUGGAUGGACCCGCGGUGCAUUAGCUAGUUGGUGAGGUAACGGCUCACCAAGGCCGUGAUGCAUAGCCGACCUGAGAGGGUGAUCGGCCACAUUGGGACUGAGACACGGCCCAAACUCCUACGGGAGGCAGCAGUAGGGAAUCUUCCGCAAUGGACGCAAGUCUGACGGAGCAACGCCGCGUGAGUGAAGAAGGUUUUCGGAUCGUAAAACUCUGUUGUUAGAGAAGAACAAGUGCUAGAGUAACUGUUAGCGCCUUGACGGUAUCUAACCAGAAAGCCACGGCUAACUACGU